rnacentral:rRNA from 1 species
GACGAACGCUGGCGGCGUGCUUAACACAUGCAAGUCGAACGGAAAGGCCCUGCUUUUGUGGGGUGCUCGAGUGGCGAACGGGUGGGUAACACGUGAGUAACCUGCCCUUGACUUUGGGAUAACUUCAGGAAACUGGGGCUAAUACCGGAUAGGAGCUCCUGCUGCAUGGUGGGGGUUGGAAAGUUUCGGCGGUUGGGGAUGGACUCGCGGCUUAUCAGCUUGUUGGUGGGGUAGUGGCUUACCAAGGCUUUGACGGGUAGCCGGCCUGAGAGGGUGACCGGCCACAUUGGGACUGAGAUACGGCCCAGACUCCUACGGGAGGCAGCAGUGGGGAAUAUUGCACAAUGGGCGGAAGCCUGAUGCAGACACGCCGCGUGCGGGAUGACGGCCUUCGGGUUGUAAACCGCUUUCGCCUGUGACGAAGCGUGAGUGACGGUAAUGGGUAAAGAAGCACCGGCUAACUACGUG